rnacentral:rRNA from 1 species
UACGUAGGGUGCAAGCGUUGUCCGGAAUUAUUGGGCGUAAAGAGCUCGUAGGCGGUCUGUCACGUCGGAUGUGAAAACUCGGGGCUCAACCCCGAGCCUGCAUACGAUACGGGCAGACUUGAGUUCGGCAGGGGAGACUGGAAUUCCUGGUGUAGCGGUGAAAUGCGCAGAUAUCAGGAGGAACACCGGUGUCGAAGGCGGGUCUCUGGGCCGAUACUGACGCAGAGGAGCGAAAGCGUGGGGAGCGAACAGG